GAUAUACGGUCACCGCGAGUUUCUCUGCCGCCGUCCAAGCUGCCACCAGAAGGAUCCACCACAGCCUCCUCUGUUCUUGUUUUCGAAUCAGAACUGCCCUUUUCCACUUUUAAUCUCAAUUCUGCUAUUUCUGAAUAUUUCUGCUAAGGUAAGUCUGAGAAAUUAAAAUUGGUGCUGCUGCCACCGUUUCGGUCACAUUGGAAUCACUGCUGCUGCCAUAAAACAAAAAGGGAAGGGAGUUACUAUGUUUAACCUUUGUGAAUUCAGCUAGUUGAGGUAGGGGCGUCUUUCUUAAACUUGUUUUUCUUUCCAGAGUUGUUAUAAAUUGAUAUUAAUGCGUGAAAUACAUUUUUGUGAUUUCGUAAGUCUUAUGAAUUGGAUUGAGUUGUUUUGGAUGAACGAGAUUAUUAGUUUGAUCGA